ensembl:lncRNA
GUUUAAAUGCUUCUAAUAUGGCAACUUUCAACACUCUGUCCUGUACCUAUGCUAUUUUAUUGUUUUUUACUAUUAUUAUUUUUAUUUUGAAUGAUGGUUUUGAAAGAAAAUGACACAAAAAUAAAAUUGUAUUUGAAUAAAUUAUUGCAUUUAUUCUCUUAAAAUGCAGAAAGCACAGAGCAUGAAUGGUCAUCACAGGUAUCUCAGAGACUGCUUUAAUAUGUGUGAAAGUUAUCAUUAAGGUGGAUUUUAUAGAUUAAUUUGUUUAUUUUUUACAUUAAAAUACUCAUUUACUGCUUGCUAAGCACUGCACUAAAGAUGUGUAUAUACUUUUUUCCCACCCUCUUUUUAUGUUCCUUUUAUGUCUUCACGUUUUGCUGUUUGUCAGCAUGUUGUUUCCACCUCACUGCUACCUCCCAUUCCUUCCUCUUGUAGGUGAAAUCUGCCCUGAGAUUUCCCAGGUGCAGUUUGGAGCACCUGGACAUCAGUCAGUCCUGCAGACAGACCAAAAGAACGAGAUCCACAGACAGCUCUCGUCCCAGCAGCAGUCGCAGUCAAAACAAGAACCAAAGGACACCCAACACGAGGAAGAAGCGAUGCAGGCUCAGCCGACAAGACAGCGCCGCCUCCACCUCUUCCUCCUCCUCGUCUUCCUCGUCUUCCUCUUCACUCUGCUCUCCUCGAACCCCAUCCUGCCUCUCCCGCAUGCUUUUCCAUCUUCUCCUUGCAUGCCUUACUCUGUUAACGUCCUCCAAGUGCCUUUCCUGGACUCUCUGUCCUCCAUUCCCCUCCGUCACCUUCGCAGCAUGAGCAGGAAUGGAAGCAGAUAGUGGAUAUAUUGUGGAGUGACCCUAAAAUCCAAGAUGGCUGCAGUCCCAACACCUUUAGAGGUGGAGGCUGCUACUUUGGCCCUGACGUCACCCAGAGACUACUGCUCCAACACGGACUCCAGCUGCUCAUCCGCUCUCAUGAGUGCAAACAAGAAGGAUACGAGUUCUGUCACAAUGGAAAGGUGAUCACCAUCUUCUCUGCGUCCAAUUAUUACGAGGAGGGAAGCAACCGAGGAGCCUAUGUCAAACUGGG